CAGUACAUAUGGCCCUUUAAAUGUUCGACACAGUAACGUAAUAUGCUACUUCUCGCACUAGUGCUAUAAAGUAGCCCCAUAUGUACUGUAAUAUUUAUUAUCCAUCUGUGAUGUUUAUUUCUUGUGAAGAUAUCGAAGUUUCGCUGUGUAGCACUUAUCGAUAUAUAAUAUGAUCAAAAUCGACCCGUCCACAUCCCUAAAAAUCCACACAUACACAUUUUUACGCACAUAUACAAAGCAGUAUAACCACCAAAAUGGCUACGGCUUGAGUAUUCAAAUUUGUAUUGAGAAAAGGCAACUAUAUCCUGUCUUUAUUUGCCUCUCUAUCGCUCGAAUAUGCAAUACGCAUGCACUCUUCGUCAAAAUCGGUUUCAAACUUUUUCGACUGAGUACGCGCAAUAAACGCCUAGUAGUAGUAUUUAAAUGUUUACCGUAUUCAUUUAAAGCAUCGUAGGACAAUGCCGCUAUGUAAACUGUAAGGUGGGUCUUAAAUUAGUGUGAGUUAUUUUGGCACCGGACUCAACCUUCACGUUACAAUAUUUAAAGUAUUGCGCUGUCAUAGUAACGAAAAUGAUAAACACGUCAAUCGGAGUAAACAAGUAACUAAAUGAUGCAAACAAGAAAAUAUUGCAAAAUAGGUACAUAUAUAUGUACCGAUAAUUAUUUUGUGUUAAAAAUAUGAGGCAAAUUAUACUGCCCGAUUAUACGGACUACAUAUUAAAAACGAUUAUCUUGGAAACAGUCAAUAGAUGUCGAACCACCAGCAAAGUUUUUGAAGAGGUGUAGUUCCUGGUACCAACUGGAAACUGAAACUAAUAAUCUACACUCAAGAAAAUGAAAUAUAGUCACAGAAAA